rnacentral:lncRNA from 1 species
UGGCAUGAUCAUCAUGGUUGAAGCUGUGCCCAAAGCCUGGCCCUUGGCCUGAGGGGAAGUUGAGACAAUCAGCAGUAUUGGGAGAUGAGGCAAAGGUGUUCGUGGGGGCUCUCAGGCAGUGGGAACAACGAUGUGAGCCUUCACAGGGUUGCUCUAGCUUUGCUCCCUGGGAAGCAGGCUCUGAGAUGAAGAUCAGCAUGCAGGACUUUUGGGAGGGAGUGCUCUUGGAAUCAACUCCUAUAGGAGAGGAAAGAAAGAAAGGAUGCAGAAUUGGGAGGAGAAAAGUGGAGCUGUGAUUCAUUCCCAACAGAAGCCUCAGCCAAUCCCGCAGGAAGUUCUGAAGAUGGGAUGGUCCUUCACCUGAUCUGGUGCUGGGGUAUUGGCUCCAAGAGCACUUCCUAAUAAACACCCUAUAUGCUGAUCUCCAUCUCAGAGUCUCAUCCCUGGUGGCCUCACACUGUGACAGUCAUCUUUAGUUCUGAUGUUAGUCUAACAUUUGAUCUGUUCUGAUCUCAAGUCCUC